CUGGUUGAUCCUGCCAGUAGUCAUAUGCUUGUCUCAAAGAUUAAGCCAUGCAUGUCUAAGUCCAAGCUGUGUUCACACGGCGAGACCGCGGACGGCUCAUUAAAUCAGUCGUGGUCCAAAUGGGCCAGUGCAAAUCCUACUUGGAUAACUGUGGUAAUUCCAGAGCUAAUACAUGCAACUGAUAUCCCGAAGGCUGGUGCUUGCUUGUCUUGCGCUUCGCUCCGACGGAUGCUUUUAUUAGACCAAGCCGCUGAGGACUUGAGGGUGUUAAAACCUUCCUGUUCGACUCGUGUGAUGGUGACUCUGGAUAACCAAUUCUGACAAGCGCACGUACUCCUCUUCUGAGCGAGACGGCGCUGCCACUUUCGAGUGUCUGCCUUAUCAGCUAUCAACCGUUCGUUAUGCGCGACCGAUGGCUUUGACGGGUAACGGGGAAUCAGGGUUCGAUUCCGGAGAGGCAGCCUGAGAGACGGCUACCACGUCCAAGGACGGCAGCAGGCACGCAAAUUACCCAAUCCCAGCAAAUGGGGGAGGUAGUGACGAAAUCUAACGAUGCGGGCGCCCUUUCUGGGGCCCCGCAAUCGGAAUGGGCACUUUCUAAAACACCUUGUUGAGAACCUACUGAAGGGCAAGUCUGGUGCCAGCAGCCGCGGUAAUUCCAGCUUCAGCAGCAUCUAUUAA
rnacentral:rRNA from 1 species